rnacentral:rRNA from 1 species
AUGAACGCUGGCGGCGUGCCUAAUACAUGCAAGUCGUGCGAACAGACGAGGAGCUUGCUCCUCUGACGUUAGCGGCGGACGGGUGAGUAACACGUGGAUAACCUACCUAUAAGACUGGGAUAACUUCGGGAAACCGGAGCUAAUACCGGAUAAUAUAUUGAACCGCUUUGUUCAAUAGUGAAAGACGGUUUUGCUGUCACUUAUAGAUGGAUCCGCGCCGCAUUAGCUAGUUGGUAAGGUAACGGCUUACCAAGGCAACGAUGCGUAGCCGACCUGAGAGGGUGAUAGGCCACACUGGAACUGAGACACGGUCCAGACUCCUAAGGGAGGCAGCAGUAGGGGAACUUCCGCAAAGGGCGAAAGCCUGACGGAGCAAAGCCGCGUGAGUGAUGAAGGUCUUCGGAUCGUAAAACUCUGUUAUUAGGGAAGAACAAAUGUGUAAGUAAAUAUGCACGUCUUGACGGUACCUAAUCAGAAAGCCAAGGCUAAAUACGUG